CCUCUACACCCUGUUGCAUUGCGGGCAUGGCCUCCGGAAAAGUCAAGCAUGGCGAAAGGAAGCGUGGCCCAGAGCUGGCACGCCACAGGAAGAGGGCUGGAGACACACUUGCUGUUCUUUUGGGAAAAGAGGCAUGGUAGUCAAACAAUAGGAUUGAGGAGCAUUUGCAGAGUCAGCUGUCUUCUCCAGCCACAGCACGCAUGUUCCACCCUAGCUGGGGCAGAACUGUGGGCUGGCCUGGCUGUGAGCCUUGUGGGACUACGAGAAGCCUCCAGCUUAGGACUCAGAGUCUCAGAUGCCCCAGGAGAGAGGAGGAGACUGGAGAGGCCAGCACGCACAGUGACUUAAUCCAAGAAGGUAGAUCGGAUAUUGACUUGGAGAGGUCUUGGAGAAAGGCUGAUGAAGGUGAUCGACAGCCUAAAUCUCUGAAGCCGUCUCCUGAUGCAACCUCUGACCCAACAAUCUCUGGGUCUUGCUGUUAUCAGCUCCAUCAGUUUUACUGGAUGGAAUAAAAAGGCCUACCUCAUUGGGCUCGUGUGGGUGAGGAGAACUGAAGAGUCUGAGAGCGCGGCACGAGCCAGAGGCUACGGAAAACACUGCCCUCCUACACUCCACCUUGGAGAGACCCAGAAAAGAACAAGCUUCAUUUGUAAAAAAGGAAAACAACUCAGGCAAUGGGGGUGGCUUAAAGGCACUCUACAGUGUGCAGAUGCCUUCCACUUCUUCCAUCUGCCCUGUCUCUCCAAGAACCCCUAUGGCCCCGGUCUCAGAACAGAGCUGAGUGCAGAAAUGAAAAUCUAUGGCUCUGUGUUCCAAAACGAUGAAGAAUUUCAAGAUGGUGGCAGUGGUAAAAUCUUUCUCCAGGAAAAAUCUGUCCUUGGCCCAAUGUGUAAACACUUGCUGAGGAACUUGGAAUAACUUGCAGUGUCUUGCAGUAUUGUGAAACCAGCAACUUGUUCACAAUUCUUCUGAAUUUCUUGGGAAAUUUGAAGUGGAGUACCUGUACCAACAUGAAAUGACACGAAUUUAAGUGACGCUCAACAACGAAAAGCAAAAAGAACCAAAGAGGAAGCAACUGAAACAACAUCUGGAUGUAUUUAAAAAUAUACAAUGCCUCCAAAAUCAGGUGUCAUUAAUGAAAAUUCUGAAGAAAUGCCACCGGACAUAGCCAACGCACCUACGCUGUUGUUAUUCAUUUCCUGCUUUUCACAGAAAACAAUUUUGUUGCAUGGAAGAUCGUGAACUUCAAAGGGCAGAGGGGAAACUGUCCCUUGGCCUCUACCCCUCCAAGGCCCCACUUUUUUGUCAACACUCCUUGGACGCAGCAGAAGUAUGAACAUAAUAUGGUCCUGAAUGAGGCUGAGUCUUUGGGCGCAGAAGACCCGGGUUAAUAAAAAUAGGAAGAAUCAGAUGCUGCCCUUGUGGCCAGUUGGGUUCCCACCCACCUGAUUCUGGAGCCCUGGACCAGAGCCCUACGUUCACCAUGGGAAGAGACCUUGUGAUAAGCCACUCCUGAAGGCAUGGCCUAACUCUGGACACAGGUGGACAGUGGGUCACCACCAGGCUUGGCCACCACCCAGAUCCCCUUGGACCAGGAGAUCAAGGCUUCGUGCUCCAUCAAGGACAUGAAACAAAACAAUGGGGAGGAAUAAAACAGGAGACCUAAAAAAGUUAUGGGCUCUGGCCCAGUGUGGAGGGGCCAGAGGCUGACUGAAAAGCAGGCCCAGAGAGAGGAAGAAAUUCAUUCACCCAAGGUCACAGAGCUUUCAGCAGAGCUGGGACAGACCUCCUCUGACUCCCAGGCUGGGGCAGUUUCCUCCAGGGCUCCUCACCCAACCACGAGUUGUUCUUCGGUGACCCCAGGCACCUUCACAGCUCCAAACAUCACCACCAAGAGCUGCCUUGACUUUUCAGACGUCAUCGAGAACAAUAACAACAAAAAA
ensembl:lncRNA DRAIC downregulated RNA in cancer, inhibitor of cell invasion and migration